UAAUUAUUGCCAAUAGUGACGUUUGCGC
rnacentral:sRNA from 1 species